rnacentral:rRNA from 1 species
GACGAACGCUGGCGGCGUGCUUAACACAUGCAAGUCGAACGGCGAACUCCGCUUGCGGGGGGAUCAGUGGCGAACGGGUGAGUAACACGUGGGCAACCUGCCCUCAGCUCUGGGAUAACUCCAAGAAAUUGGGGCUAAUACCGGAUAUGACCGCUGACCGCAUGGUCUGGUGGUGGAAAGAUUUAUCGGCUGGGGAUGGGCCCGCGGCCUAUCAGCUUGUUGGUGGGGUAGUGGCCUACCAAGGCGACGACGGGUAGCCGGCCUGAGAGGGUGACCGGCCACACUGGGACUGAGACACGGCCCAGACUCCUACGGGAGGCAGCAGUGGGGAAUAUUGCGCAAUGGGCGAAAGCCUGACGCAGCGACGCCGCGUGGGGGAUGACGGCCUUCGGGUUGUAAACCUCUUUCAGCAGGGACGAAGCGAAAGUGACGGUACCUGCAGAAGAAGCACCGGCCAACUACGUG